UGUAGGUGGGUAGCUGGAAUCUGCAGGGAGCAGGGAGGACUCAGAUGGGAAUGCAGAAGGAGGAGCUCCCCUGUGGGAAUCGAUUCCUCCCUUUUCCCCUCCUGGGCUUUCUCUCGGGACUCUUUUGUCCAGGGAUUGGCAGACUGGAGGCUACAAUUCCAAAUGUCAAUCACAUCCACCUAGGGUCAUGGUCGUAGGGACGUGUCUACUCCAGUUGGGAGAGGACAUUAAACUCUGAAGCAGGGAUGCUGUGAGCUCCUCUUAGACCUCCGGGGCCCUCAGUCAGAGCCUGGUGCGUUCCCAUAUCCUCCCCACUCCGAAGGUGUCGGCCCUGUAGCGUGUGCUAGCCUCGUGGACAGCUUACCCUUGGAGUGAAAGCAGCACCCGCCCCUAAAAAGAAGGACAGCGACACGAACUGGUGCUCAUUAACAAGUGCUAAUGAGUGUUAGCCGAGCUGCCUUCGAAAGGAGAGCAAAAGAGAAGGAGUGAAGCUGCUACUGAAAGGGUGAACGCCAAAGUGAGGUCCAGGGGCAAACGAGGCAGCCACUGUUUCCAGAAUAGCAGCUGGGGCACCCAAGGCACCUGCCAGUCGUCAAGAGUUCGCCGCCAAGAAUCCUGUGUGUGGUCUGGGCUAAAUGGAAAAGCAGAUACUGGUAUCAACAUGGGGUACCAGGGCCUUUGUGUGUCAGAUGCCAUGUUCCUGGGCAAUAUCCUGGAAGUACUCCUUAGACCUUGGCCACUAGAGUCACGUAUCAAGUCUCCCAGUGUCCAGAAGUCCUCCAGUGACUAGAUUAGGCCUUGCUUUUUGGAUCCUUCCUGCCAUCCCACUGACUGUACCCUCUGAGGACUGUCACUGACGCAAGGACACGAUAUUGCCUCUUUGGUCUUCAUAAUGGUCAGGCCUGGCUACCAGGGUGCCAGAGAGCUGGCCUUGCUUCCCAGAAAGAAGGAUGAAAGGGAUGCAGGAGCGCAGCAGUUUCCAUGGAAACAGCUCGAGGUGGUGAUGAGAAUAAAGUCCAGAGAAACCCAGAGAGAUCACGACCAAGGUAUCAAGCCCCAAAGUGGAGGGAGCUGCUGGGAUUGCGUCCCACUUUUCAGGUUGGCAUGAGGCUGUGAGGUCUGGGAUUGCUGCAGCCAUCUUGAAGACUCCAGAGUGGCCAUAUACGGGACAAAGAGCAGAGACUGAGGGUCAAGCCAUCCUUGCAAAAGACAGGAUGGAGCGACUGAAAAACAUGGGGUCACAGACGACAUCAUUUGAGCUGCUGGAUCAAGCUGAGCCUGAAGUACGCUGGGACUUUUUGGUUAAUGAGUCAAUAUAUACCUAGCAGUGAAGCCCUCUUAAGGCAGCUUGCUUUCGUUUCUUUUCUUUUACUUUUUUAAUACAACCCCCAAAGACCAAGGUGAUCUAGGAAGGGAACAACUGUCCUCAUGGAGCUGGAACUGGGGAACAUUUAGGAACCAAAGCCUCUCUCUUUUCUCUUAGAGAACCAGGCAAGGCCAAACUUCACAGGUCCUCUGACUCUAAUUUUCCCUCUAAUGAGGAACACCUGUCUCAUAACCUCUCCUGUCACAGUCACCAGUCUCAAAGCCCACAGCAUCCAUUCCCCUAGCAGAAGGGCCUCUUGGUCGCUUUAGUCCAAAUUCCCCAGGAAUGAGUCAGAUUGGUCAAGCUCACAUUUACAUGGGAGCCAUUCCCAUGUCAAACAGCUCAACAGACAGUGGGACACGCUCUCUGGAAGCACAGGUCAAACUACUCUGAUGCAUGAGGCAGGGGACUGAAAUAGGGGCUUGGCAUUUUUUUUUUUUUGGCAUGGGAAGAUGGUUUAGCCAUUAAGAGCAUUUGUUGCUCUUGGAGAGACUGGUUCUAAUGCUCAAUGGGUUUGUGUUCCUGCCUUUCUUGCAGUCAGUAACUGUGGUCUCUGGUGAGCUGGGCAAGGAUUCCUUGAUCGUGGGAGAGGUCGCUCAGUGGUUAGGGAUGCUUGCUGCUCUUGCAGAGGACCUAAAUUCAGUUCCCAAGACCCAUGUUGGGUGGUUCACAAAUUCCUGCAGUAUCAGCCACAGGAGAACCCAUGCCCUCUUGUGGCCUUUUCAGGCACUGCGCCCACAUGCUUAUAGCCACACAGACAUACACACAAAUCAUAAAAAAUAAACAUAAAGGGCCAUAUUAUAUACACAUACACAAAUAUAAACACACAUAUGUAUACAUAUACAUAUAUGUGGGUGUGUAUAUGUAUUUAUUUGGCCUUUUGGAUUAUAGGGAUUCUGUCACUGUAGCACAGAAACAGCCAUAGGCAAAUGAGUAAACAAAAGAACACAGAUCUGUAUUAAUAAAACGUUCACCCCA